rnacentral:rRNA from 1 species
CCUACGGGCGGCAGCAGUGGGGAAUAUUGCACAAUGGGCGCAAGCCUGAUGCAGCCAUGCCGCGUGUGUGAAGAAGGCCUUCGGGUUGUAAAGCACUUUCAGCGGGGAGGAAGGCGUUAAGGUUAAUAACCUUGGCGAUUGACGUUACCCGCAGAAGAAGCACCGGCUAACUCCGUGCCAGCAGCCGCGGUAAUACGGAGGGUGCAAGCGUUAAUCGGAAUUACUGGGCGUAAAGCGCACGCAGGCGGUCUGUCAAGUCGGAUGUGAAAUCCCCGGGCUCAGCCUGGGAACUGCAUUCGAAACUGGCAGGCUAGAGUCUUGUAGAGGGGGGUAGAAUUCCAGGUGUAGCGGUGAAAUGCGUAGAGAUCUGGAGGAAUACCGGUGGCGAAGGCGGCCCCCUGGACAAAGACUGACGCUCAGGUGCGAAAGCGUGGGGAGCAAACAGGAUUAGAUACCCGGGUAGUC